rnacentral:tRNA from 1 species
CCCUGGGUGGUGCAAAUGGUUAGCGCGCUCGGCUGCUAACCGAAAAGAUUGGAGGUUUGAAUCCACCCAGAGGCG